UCAGAAGUGCGAAUGCUGACAUAAGUAACGAUAAAGCGGGUGAAAAGCCCGCUCGCCGGAAGACCAAGGGUUCCUGUCCAACGUUAAUCGGGGCAGGGUGAGUCGACCCCUAAGGCGAGGCCGAAAGGCGUAGUCGAUGGGAAACAGGUUAAUAUUCCUGUACUUGGUGUUACUGCGAAGGGGGGACGGAGAAGGCUAUGUUGGCCGGGCGACGGUUGUCCCGGUUUAAGCGUGUAGGCUGGUUUUCCAGGCAAAUCCGGAAAAUCAAGGCUGAGGCGUGAUGACGAGGCACUACGGUGCUGAAGCAACAAAUGCCCUGCUUCCAGGAAAAGCCUCUAAGCAUCAGGUAACAUCAAAUCGUACCCCAAACCGACACAGGUGGUCAGGUAGAGAAUACCAAGGCGCUUGAGAGAACUCGGGUGAAGGAACUAGGCAAAAUGGUGCCGUAACUUCGGGAGAAGGCACGCUGAUAUGUAGGUGAAGUCCCUCGCGGAUGGAGCUGAAAUCAGUCGAAGAUACCAGCUGGCUGCAACUGUUUAUUAAAAACACAGCACUGUGCAAACACGAAAGUGGACGUAUACGGUGUGACGCCUGCCCGGUGCCGGAAGGUUAAUUGAUGGGGUUAGCGCAAGCGAAGCUCUUGAUCGAAGCCCCGGUAAACGGCGGCCGUAACUAUAACGGUCCUAAGGUAGCGAAAUUCCUUGUCGGGUAAGUUCCGACCUGCACGAAUGGCGUAAUGAUGGCCAGGCUGUCUCCACCCGAGACUCAGUGAAAUUGAACUCGCUGUGAAGAUGCAGUGUACCCGCGGCAAGACGGAAAGACCCCGUGAACCUUUACUAUAGCUUGACACUGAACAUUGAGCCUUGAUGUGUAGGAUAGGUGGGAGGCUUAGAAGUGUGGACGCCAGUCUGCAUGGAGCCGACCUUGAAAUACCACCCUUUAAUGUUUGAUGUUCUAACGUGGACCCGUAAUCCGGGUUGCGGACAGUGUCUGGUGGGUAGUUUGACUGGGGCGGUCUCCUCCUAAAGAGUAACGGAGGAGCACGAAGGUUGGCUAAUCCUGGUCGGACAUCAGGAGGUUAGUGCAAUGGCAUAAGCCAGCUUGACUGCGAGCGUGACGGCGCGAGCAGGUGCGAAAGCAGGUCAUAGUGAUCCGGUGGUUCUGAAUGGAAGGGCCAUCGCUCAACGGAUAAAAGGUACUCCGGGGAUAACAGGCUGAUACCGCCCAAGAGUUCAUAUCGACGGCGGUGUUUGGCACCUCGAUGUCGGCUCAUCACAUCCUGGGGCUGAAGUAGGUCCCAAGGGUAUGGCUGUUCGCCAUUUAAAGUGGUACGCGAGCUGGGUUUAGAACGUCGUGAGACAGUUCGGUCCCUAUCUGCCGUGGGCGCUGGAGAACUGAGGGGGGCUGCUCCUAGUACGAGAGGACCGGAGUGGACGCAUCACUGGUGUUCGGGUUGUCAUGCCAAUGGCACUGCCCGGUAGCUAAAUGCGGAAGAGAUAAGUGCUGAAAGCAUCUAAGCACGAAACUUGCC
rnacentral:rRNA from 1 species